CUUCCCUACUUGCUGCGCCCCAUCUUCCUCUCGUGGCGGCAUCCGGUUAUGCAUCUGGGCUACAGCUCAGCUCAAGUAGUUGACGGGGGCGGAGUGGCCUCGGCAGCGGCGUGGAGUGGAUUCGACGGUGAUGAUCUGCUUCCGAGCCAAGUCUGAUGCCGUGCACGGCCGCCUCCUGGUUCUCUUCCGCACGCAGCCAAGGCCACGACAGCGAGCCUCAACCUUGCGUGGCCCACGAGAAGCAGGCGCAAGGCCGGUUCAGGGUGACGGCUAGGGUGCGUGCAUGGUGGUGCUAAUUCUGUGCUCGCAUCACAUGAUGGCGGUGAUUUGCCAAAUUGGUAAGCCAUCAAUCUGAUUUGCUUAGGGAUUUACCCAGAAAUUUGAGUUCUAAAUUUGGGUAUUUUUUCGUUUUAGGGUUUUGAAAUCAUGCAACGUGCGGCCGAAGAUAGAAACCGGUGA
rnacentral:lncRNA from 1 species